UGGGGAAUUUUGGACAAUGGGCGCAAGCCUGAUCCAGCCAUGCCGCGUGCGGGAAGAAGGCCUUCGGGUUGUAAACCGCUUUUGUCAGGGAAGAAAUCUUCUGAGUUAAUACCUCGGGAGGAUGACGGUACCUGAAGAAUAAGCACCGGCUAACUACGUGCCAGCAGCCGCGGUAAUACGUAGGGUGCAAGCGUUAAUCGGAAUUACUGGGCGUAAAGCGUGCGCAGGCGGUUUUGUAAGACAGAGGUGAAAUCCCCGGGCUCAACCUGGGAACUGCCUUUGUGACUGCAAGGCUUGAGUGCGGCAGAGGGGGAUGGAAUUCCGCGUGUAGCAGUGAAAUGCGUAGAUAUGCAGAGGAACACCGAUGGCGAAGGCAAUCCCCUGGGCCUGCACUGACGCUCAUGCACGAAAGCGUGGGGAGCAAACAGGAUUAGAUACCCUGGUAGUCCACGCCCUAAACGAUGUCAACUGGUUGUUGGGAAGGUUCCUUCUCAGUAACGUAGCUAACGCGUGAAGUUGACCGCCUGGGGAGUACGGCCGCAAGGUUGAAACUCAAAUGAAUUGACGGGGUCAUAGCUGUUUCCU
rnacentral:rRNA from 1 species